UACGUAGGGUGCGAGCGUUGUCCGGAAUUAUUGGGCGUAAAGGGCUCGUAGGCGGUUUGUCGCGUCGGGAGUGAAAACCCAGGGCUUAACCCUGGGCUGGCUUCCGAUACGGGCAGACUAGAGGUAUGCAGGGGAGAACGGAAUUCCUGGUGUAGCGGUGAAAUGCGCAGAUAUCAGGAGGAACACCGGUGGCGAAGGCGGUUCUCUGGGCCGAUACUGACGCUGAGGAGCGAAAGCGUGGGGAGCAAACAGG
rnacentral:rRNA from 1 species